GUUUGAUCCUGGCUCAGGAUGAACGCUGGCGGCGUGCCUAACACAUGCAAGUCGAGCGAUUUACUUCGGUAAAGAGCGGCGGACGGGUGAGUAACGCGUGGGUAACCUGCCCUGUACACACGGAUAACAUACCGAAAGGUAUGCUAAUACGAGAUAAAAUACUUUUAUCGCAUGGUAGAAGUAUCAAAGCUUUUGCGGUACAGGAUGGACCCGCGUCUGAUUAGCUAGUUGGUAAGGUAACGGCUUACCAAGGCGACGAUCAGUAGCCGACCUGAGAGGGUGAUCGGCCACAUUGGAACUGAGACACGGUCCAAACUCCUACGGGAGGCAGCAGUGGGGAAUAUUGCACAAUGGGCGAAAGCCUGAUGCAGCAACGCCGCGUGAGCGAUGAAGGCCUUCGGGUCGUAAAGCUCUGUCCUCAAGGAAGAUAAUGACGKUACUUGAGGAGGGAGGCCCCGGSUUAAYUACGUGCCAGCAGCCGCGGUAAUACGUAGGGGGCUAGCGUUAUUCCGGAAUUACUGGGCGUAAAGGGUGCGUAGGUGGUUUCUUAAGUCAGAGGUGAAAGGCUACGGCUCAACCGUAGUAAGCCUUUGAAACUGGGRAACUUGAGUGCAGGAGAGGAGAGUGGAAUUCCUAGUGUAGCGGUGAAAUGCGUAGAUAUUAGGAGGAACACCAGUUGCGAAGGCGGCUCUCUGGACUGUAACUGACACUGAGGCACGAAAGCGUGGGGAGCAAACAGGAUUAGAUACCCUGGUAGUCCACGCCGUAAACGAUGAGUACUAGCUGUCGGAGGUUACCCCCUUCGGUGGCGCAGCUAACGCAUUAAGUACUCCGCCUGGGAAGUACGCUCGCAAGAGUGAAACUCAAAGGAAUUGACGG
rnacentral:rRNA from 1 species